rnacentral:rRNA from 1 species
UACGUAGGCAGCGAGCGUUGUUCGGAGUUACUGGGCGUAAAGCGUGCGUAGGCGGUGUCUUAAGUUUGUUGUGAAAUCUCCCGGCUUAACCGGGAGGGUGCGGCGAAUACUGAGAUGCUGGAGUGCGGGAGAGGUAAGCGGAAUUCCUGGUGUAGCGGUGAAAUGCGUAGAUAUCAGGAGGAACACCUGCGGUGUAGACGGCUUACUGGACCGUAACUGACGCUGAGGCACGAAAGCGUGGGUAG